GAUGAAGAACGCAGCGAAAUGCGAUAAGUAGUGUGAAUUGCAGAAUUCAGUGAAUCAUCGAAUCUUUGAACGAACAUUGCGCCCUUUGGUAUUCCUUAGGGCAUGCCUGUUCGAGCGUCAUUUAAACCUUCAAGCUAAGCUUGGUGUUGGGUGACUGUCCGCCUCACGGCGGACUCGCCUCAAAAUUAUUGGCGGCCGGUACAUUGGCUUCGAGCGCAGCAGAAACGCGAACUCGGGCCCGUCGUAUUGGCUCCCAGAAGCUAUCUUCACAAUUUUGACCUCGGAUCAGGUAGGGAUACCCGCUGAACUUAAGCAUAUCAAUAAGCGGAGGA
rnacentral:misc_RNA from 1 species